AUUCCUCAGGGUUUGGGAAGAGAGAAAAAAUAAGAAAAAAAUUAUUUUCUUCUCUAUCUUUCUUUCACUUCUUCAUCUCCUUCAAAAGUUCAUCUUCAAUCUCUAAAAAGAUUUUAGAGAUUUAAAAAAAAAGAUCCAGACUAGCCAAGAAGAAGGUCUUCAUGUGGGCUAGUACUCCCGAGAAGACCGAUCAGAUUGGAGCUUCGAGUGGACUUCCC
rnacentral:lncRNA from 1 species